UUCUAGCCCAGAUUUUCAGUGUGUGAGAAUGAGAUAGAGAGAGAGUGAGGGAGGGAGAUUUCAGAAAUUCUGAAGCUGAACGAGCUCUUGCUGUAGCAAUGGCGACUGUAGCAGAAUCAUCGGAAGCGAACCCAAUUCCACCACUACCACCACCACCACCACCAUCACCAAGCGAAGGCCACAGCAACAACAACAACAGUGCUAAAACCCUAGACGAAACGACGACGCUUUGGGUGGAGUACGCAGUUCAUCAAGCUCGGCUUUACCAGAAAGCCAUCGAAGAAGCCCUAGAUUCCGCUCUCGAAGUCUCCAGAUCUCGCCUCUCCCAAAUCCGAUCCACUUCCUCCGCUCAUUUCAACCAAACUAUCGAUUCUUUACAAGGUCUCAAGUCUGAUUAUGCUACUUAUGAGGAUUUAUUAGUUGGAAAGAUUAAAGAGGGUGUUGUUAUUGCAUCUUCACAUCCAUUAAUUACGGGUGGGGUUGCUGCUGGAUUGGGAUUGACAGUACUGAAAAGGCCACGACGUUUCUUGUACUAUAAAACCUUGCACCUUUUUGCUAGUGAAGAGUCCUUACUUUCCAGAGCUGAUUCUCAAGUGAAGGAGUUGCGGCAAUCAAUUGAUCUUCUGAAAGCUGAAAGUGAAAAGUUGGAGAAGAGGGCAUUACAUGGAGAAGAGGAGCUGCUACGUGGAAGGACAAAACUCAGACAAGCAGGGAAGCAGAUUCAAGGUGUGAUCCGCUCAGCUUAUAAGAUUGAAAGACAAGCAGGGGGAUUAAAAGAUAUUCUUGGAGAACUUCCAAGAACGCAAGCAUCUAGGUUCCGGUCACAGGUUUCUAAACUAGCUUCUGAGGCAAAGCGAGAAAGGGUUGCUUUGACCAAGGAGGUCACAAAAAUCAGCAAUUAUGGGAUCUCAGUUUGAGAAUUCUCCUGCUGAAAUUCUCUUUUUUCCUGUACUUUGAAGUUUCACAAAUUGAAUCGCCCUUAUCUAACAUGACUCACUUUCUGCACAACGUGAGUUGAAUCUUUGAAUAAAUGGAAUCACAGCGUUGGUCUGCAAAAGAAAAUGUUCAGUGAACUGAAUACUCUUCUGUGAGUUCUGUCAUGGUCAAACUGCUCAUAUUGAGUCAACAACAGCCAUGAGGCAUCACAUGGCGUGUGCAUAUUCUCACUUUCACUCUUAAACAAAUAUCAUCAGGUGUGACUGAUUUUCCUCAUUCCUCACAAUUAUAUUAUUUCUAUUUAGUAAGGAACUGAGGAAUGAAAGGGCAUCUAAACAAUAUCUAUACCUAUAGUAUUAGUCUUUUGGGUUGGGUAA